UAAAUCACUUUAGUAUAAUGUCUAAGCCAGCUGAGUACAAAGCUUUCAUGGAUUGUUACGAUGAUUUUAUACAGCUUGUAGAGCAGGCACCAAACGACGUCUGUAAUCAAUUGAUUCCUCUUGAAUUACUACCACCAGCAGUGAUAAAAUACGUUAGUAAUAACGUUCAUGAUGAUGAUGAAAAGGCGUCUCGAAUAUGUAACACUCUGUCGAGCCAAAUCCAAAUCAAUUCAGAGGCUGUUCAUUUAUUUAUUAAUUCUCUAGAAAAAGCUGGUAGGUGGACACGUUAUGCAGUCGAAAAUUUCCAAAAAGCACUGGAGAACCGCAAACAAGAAGAGUGCAUUGAGUCCAAACAGAAAAUUACCAAGCCACAGCACAUACAAGAAAACUGUCGACCAGUUGUGAUUGUCCUAGCUGUUUUGCUAGGUGUUGCAGCAGCUUUCAGUGGAGGAGCUUGUGUGUACAUGUAUUCUGGAGAGGAUAUCGCCACUGCUGUUAGCGUACCAAAAAAUCAAGAACGAAAUGAGAGUAAAAUAGAGUUCUACGAAGUUUUUCCUCAGCAAAAUGUACCUACUAUUAAUAGCCCCUUUUUUGGUCGAGCCAAAGAACUAAAAGAAGUAAAAGAACUUAUUAUCUCAAACGCGGUCCGUAUUAUUAAUAUCAAUGGUCCACCUGCUUUUGAAAAAUCCAGACUAGCAAAUCAGUUGGGUCAUGAAUUACUGCAUUAUUCUGGUGUCAUUCCAAACAUUCGAUAUAUAGAUACAGUGACUUCUAGAAAGUCGUGGUAUCUCUGUUCAACCAGCACUUCACAAAAACAAGAACGUAAUAGAUAUUCUGGCACACAUGAUAUAUCUGACACUGAGUCUCCAGAAAGUAGUGGUCAAAGUGUAUAUGACGACAAUUUAUGUACGUUGAUUACAUGGCAGAAAAAAAGAACUGUAUUGAUAUUUGAUAACUGUGACCCAAUCCUGCACAGUAAUGAUCGAAAGCUGUUUGUAGAUAUGCUUCAAACAUUUCUAUCAAUGAAUGUCCAGAUAUUUAAUGUGGUAGUUGUAUCUCAAGAACAGUUGUUUUUCUUAGAUGAUGGUUUUUACUCAAUUCAUCUAGAAGCACUUUCACCAAUGGAUUCUCAGGCUAUGCUAAUGCAUUACAUACAAAACCUGACUACUGCACAAGCUAAUGACCUUUACGCUGUUGUUGGCGGUUGCCCUCUGGCACUAAAAGUUGUUGCAAAGCUUCUUUGUGAAAGAAAUAGUCUGAAGUCGUUGUUAGCAAAGCUGAAGCAAAACGUAACAUUUACAUUAUCUAAAAAGUCUACAAGAGAAGAGGAUCAGUUGCACAAAGUAAUAGACAUUGCUUACAAAAAGUACAUGGACCCUCUGAGUAGAAAAUGUGCUCGUGUUCUGAGUCUCUUUCCAGGGUCUGUGAGUGAAGAGAUGACCAACAGUGUCUUAUCUGAAAUUGUAGACCCGUCGUGUAUUGAAGAUGUCAUACGUUUGUCGUUUUUGGAAGAGUUUUCAAUCGAAGAAUUACGAAGAUUUUCUAUCCACACUGUUAUUCAAGGUUACCUGAAAUCUGUGCAUCUUAUCCAGUCUGAUAUAAAAGCUUUCAAUUCAUCUUUUCUCAGUUUCUAUUCUGAUUAUUUAACAAAUGCCAUGAAGCAGAGUUACAUGUAUGUUCAUCGAAACAUAAGCAAUGAAGACAGUUACUUAUUAAAUGAUUUGGAAUCUCACAAUAUGAAUGAAUUUGUACCAAUGCUCCUAUCAACAGACAUUGAUGAAGAGCUUACAUUGUAUUCUGCAAUAGCGCUAGGCUUUCUAAUCUAUGAGAAAAGGAUUCCUGAGGCCUAUACUCAUGACGUCUUCCUAAAAGCACAUAACUUACACAGCAGCUCUUCAAUAUUUGACAGUCUUUGUGCUCUCUCCUCCAAAGACGUAUGCACGAGCAUCCUAUGGAAAUCAUUUUCGCUUCUUGUAAUACAGAAUGAAUGUAAUAGCUAUUUUUCCUUCAUUUCAAAUCUAUUCUUUGCUCACCCGAUAUGUUCUCAACUCUAUAAUUGCUCCAAACUAAAUCCCUUCGAUUAUCAAUACACUGUGUUACAAGAAAUUGUGAACCAAACAGAAAAGUCCCUAUGAGGGGUGUGAUACUUUCAAACACUUAUUGUAAGAUGUCAACUACAUGCAUACAAGUGGAUUAUGGAGUUUUUGUCUAAAUGGACUCUCGUGAUUAAUGUUUUUGCUAUAUUACUUGUAGUGGCACUAGUGUAUAUGGAAUAUCUAUGAUAUUGCGGGAUUUUUUUACAGUUUUGCUGAUUGCAGAAACAUGUAUAUUUUUUUGCGUUGCAUUAAAUAUACUGUUGUACUUUCCAGACCGUACAGAUUCGUACUAUCAAUUGUAUGCUGAGUUUUGGUAUGACAUCUGCAUCAGUAUUUCAGAUUAUGUCGAGGAAUGGCAAUGUACUCAUCUACCUACUUCCUUCAUCAACAACACAAUGUCAGACAUGUGCAACAACACAACUGCAAUUGUCGAGGAACAUGAACCGGACCGAACGAAUAUCCCUGGGAUUGUGUAUGAAACCCGUAUUCGUGAGCUCACUCUUUGCAGCACUUUGUUAUGUUAUGAUGUAUUACUGUGCACAAUUUAUUAAUUACUCUAGUAAUGGUGGUCUUGUCCAUUCUUUAUAAACACAAUCAUAAUUGCACAUGCAUUAAUUAUCACUCUUAUAAUACUGAGUGACUGUAGAUUUACUUACAGACUCGUAUAUACGCCUGCUUUAAAUCUUCAUGUGUAUAUAAUAAUUAUACACCAUGUGUGUAAUGUCACUAAGUAUAAACUUUUUGUAAAAUGUAGCUACAUGUAGCAGCUAUGAUUUUGUUAUAAUUUUUAUACAAAUUUGU